GCAAAACAGUGUUCAUCGUUCCAAAAACGCAAAACCCUAACUCAUCUCUUCAUCCAGGAAGCUAUGGAAUUCAUGCAACCACAGGCACCUAAUACGGUCAUCAUUCCAAAUCCCUAAGUCGACGAAAUCCCUAAUAAAUUUCAAAUCCCUAAUUGUCGCUCCAAAUCCAAACCCCUAACUCGUUCAUCGUUCCAAUCCCAAAUCCAUAAAUCUCUUUCCAAAUCGACUUAUAGCUUCUCUUGUUCUGUCUCCGACAAGUGGAGAACCUUCUCUUUCGUUCUCUCAUUCUGAAUCUGUGAACUUACAUCCUGAUACCUCAAACUUUUUUUUUGUUUCAUAUUUACAUGUUUCUUCAAACAUUUAUUUUAUUCUGAAAUAAAAUUGACGAUUUCUAAAUUUAUUCUGCUUGAUGUUAGACAUUUUGAUUUGGAAUUUAAUGGAAGCUGCUGUUGGUUUUGGUUGUUCUGUUAGGUGGCUUCAGUGGUUGAUUUUAGACAUAGUUAACUAG
rnacentral:lncRNA from 1 species